CCUACGGGAGGCAGCAGUGAGGAAUAUUGGUCAAUGGGCGGGAGCCUGAACCAGCCAAGUCGCGUGAGGGCAGACGGUCCUAUGGAUUGUAAACCUCUUUAGGCGGGGAGCAAUGCCGGGCACGCGUGCCCGGAGGGAGAGUACCCGCAGAAUAAGCAUCGGCUAACUCCGUGCCAGCAGCCGCGGUAAUACGGAGGAUGAGAGCGUUAUCCGGAUUUAGUGGGGUUAAAGGGUGCGUAGGCGGAUUUUUAAGUCAGCGGUAAAAUGUACGGGCUCAACCCGGGCCGGCCGUUGAAACUGGGGAUCUUGAGUGGGCGAGAAGUAUGCGGAAUGCGUGGUGUAGCGGUGAAAUGCAUAGAUAUCACGCAGAACUCCGAUUGCGAAGGCAGCAUACCGGCGCCCGACUGACGCUGAGGCACGAAAGCGUGGGGAUCGAACAGGAUUAGAUACCCCUGUAGUC
rnacentral:rRNA from 1 species